ACAAACAUGGGCAACAGAGUGUCACUUCUCGUCAACAACCACCCACCGCUGCUUGGAGAUCCUCAACAGCAGCCGUCCGGAUUUCACACUGUGCUGUCCUCACCACAUGUGCAGGAUGUGCAGCCCACCCUCCACGCCCAACCAGAUCAGGAGGAGUACCGGCUGUGUCAACCGCGUCAUGAUUUUCUGCGUUCAACGGUGAGAUGCCCCUGCUCUGGAUUGGUCAGCGCUUGACCUAUUUUGAGAUGUAUCGAGUUCCUAUUUACGAUUGGGUCAGUACUGAUACUCUGUAUUUGGACGGAUUAACCGCGAUAUGGUUUCACGCAUAUAAGCGACUGCACCGCCGUCAAACUUGGGACGAGCUCGGUGGCACCGUGGUGACUGACUUUGGGCAGGAUGAAUGCGAUAGUCAAAGCCAAUCUUGAAAGUGGCAACUUUGCGAAGCCUCAUCUUGAAAAUAUAAAGUAGCCGAUUUUCUCGUCAGAUGACCAAACUCCUUUAGUUAAAACAGCCUACAUUAGUCACUCAAUACGAGGUCCAAUUGAAAGAAUGUAUGUACCAUCUGUUUUUCCUGGAUCCCGUGAUGAGCACUCGUUGGUUCGCCACCUAGUUUAUUUUCAGACUGCGGGACGAUCUUCGAGGACCUGUGAGACUGCACACUCCUACUAGUGUCACUUGAGCUACACUUUGGCAAAGAUUCAGGAAGAGGAAGUGGAGCACAUAAGGCCUAGAAAUCGUCUAGCAGGGCCGACAAAGCAUCCACGACCACAUGUAGCAGAGCGCCAGAUACGUGAUUUUCGGCGUGCCAAUGGUCUUUGUUUCAAAUGUGGAGAUAAGUAUUCCAAGGAACAUCAAUGCAAGCGACCAGGUCAGCUAGUCACUUCUGAAGUUGGAGAAUCCAAUGAAGUUUUUUCUGAUGAUCCAGUGGUUGCCUUGGAUCUCUUGGAGGAAACAACGGUGCCUGUUACUUCCUAUUAUCUUUCUGUGCAUGCUCUUGCAGGAACGGAAGCAUUGGAAACAGUUCACAUUCAUGCUCUGGUGGGCAACUAGGUGAUGCUCUUGCUUUUCGACACUGGCAGCACACACACAUUUGUGAAUAAGAGUUUUGCCCGGCAUGCUGGGUGUAAUGUUCAGUCAGUUCCAGCCGUUUUAGUUAAGGUAGCAAAUUUUGAAAUUUUGUCAUCUAAUGCUCAUGUACAGGGUUUACAAUGGUGGACAUAAGGUUCUACAUUUGUCACUGACAUGAGGGUGUUGGAGCUUGGGGGCC